AUAGACCAGCCUCUGCUGGAUCAGGAAGGCAUGUACUUCAUUCCAGUCUGUGAGAAGAUAAAGAGCUGUGGGAAACCAAGAAUUAAAAACUGCUGGUUCAUGACAGAAGGUUACAGGCAGAUCUCCACUUUCCAUGUCUGCAUAAGAAUAAAUCAAGGUCUUUAGCAAA